CGGACGGGUGAGUAACGCGUGGGGAACCUGCCCUGUACAGGGGGAUAACACUUAGAAAUAGGUGCUAAUACCGCAUAAGCGCACAGCUUCGCAUGAAGUGGUGUGAAAAACUCCGGUGGUAUACGAUGGUUCCGCGUCUGAUUAGCUUGUUGGUGGGGUAAUGGCUCACCAAGGCGACGAUCAGUAGCCGGCCUGAGAGGGUGAACGGCCACAUUGGGACUGAGACACGGCCCAAACUCCUACGGAAGGCAGCAG
rnacentral:rRNA from 1 species